rnacentral:rRNA from 1 species
UACGUAGGGUGCGAGCGUUGUCCGGAAUUACUGGGCGUAAAGAGCUCGUAGGCGGUUUGUUGCGUCGACUGUGAAAACCCGCGGCUCAACCGCGUGGCUUGCAGUCGAUACGGGCAGGCUAGAAUUCGGUAGGGGAGACUGGAAUUCCGGGUGUAGCGGUGGAAUGCGUAGAGAUCCGGAAGAACACCGGUGGCGAAGGCGGUUAGCUGGGCAGUUGCUGACACUGAGCGCGACAGCGUGGGGAGCAACAGG